rnacentral:rRNA from 1 species
CGGCGGACGGGUGAGUAACGCGUGGGUAACCUGCCUCAUACAGGGGGAUAACAGUUAGAAAUGACUGCUAAUACCGCAUAAGACCACAGGGCUGCAUGGCUCGGUGGUAAAAACUCCGGUGGUAUGAGAUGGACCCGCGUCUGAUUAGCUGGUUGGUGGGGUAACGGCCUACCAAGGCGACGAUCAGUAGCCGACCUGAGAGGGUGACCGGCCACAUUGGGACUGAGACACGGCCCAAACUCCUACGGGAGGCAGCAG